UCCUCCCUCUUUCUUCGUGCUUAACACAUGCAAGUCGAACGGAAAGGCCCUGCUUUUGUGGGGUGCUCGAGUGGCGAACGGGUGAGUAACACGUGAGUAACCUGCCCUUGACUUUGGGAUAACUUCAGGAAACUGGGGCUAAUACCGGAUAGGAGCUCCUGCUGCAUGGUGGGGGUUGGAAAGUUUCGGCGGUUGGGGAUGGACUCGCGGCUUAUCAGCUUGUUGGUGGGGUAGUGGCUUACCAAGGCUUUGACGGGUAGCCGGCCUGAGAGGGUGACCGGCCACAUUGGGACUGAGGUACGGCCCAGACUCCUACGGGAGGCAGCAGUGGGGAAUAUUGCACAAUGGGCGGAAGCCUGAUGCAGCAACGCCGCGUGCGGGAUGACGGCCUUCGGGUUGUAAACCGCUUUCGCCUGUGACGAAGCGUGAGUGACGGUAAUGGGUAAAGAAGCACCGGCUAACUACGUG
rnacentral:rRNA from 1 species